UCGUGCGGCGAAACAAGAUGUCUUCGGCGGUUCGGGCCCAUUCCUCACUGACGAGAUAUUCGACCUCGCGCUCCGUCAGGUCGCCUGCGACCACGGCGCCCAUGUCGUCCAGCG
rnacentral:misc_RNA from 1 species